UCUGUGUGGAGAUCUGCUCGCGCGUUGUUGAGAUCUCUGGCCUCGGUUUUUUUGCACAACACAAAAUGUGUAUUUAGGUUUUUUCUUUAUCCACUAACAGUUUCACAGAUUAACCUAAGUGAAGUGAAGGUAGUUUAGUACGGUGUUUGGAAUCACAGAAUUUGGCCCUAUUUUGAUGUUUCGGUAUAUCGGUUUUAUUUUCCGGUUCGAAUCGCGUUCGGAUUUCGCGUUGAUUUGCUGAGCUAGUGAUUGUCGAUACCUAUCCAUCAGGGAAAAGAAAGAAGGAUGUUUUGUUGAUACGAUUGGGAUGGAGCAAAUUUGAAGUGAAAUUGGUUAUUUCUAAUUGGUUUAUAUGGGGAGCUGUUGUGAUUCUCUAACCAUAAAGGAGCAAUUAUUUGAAGUGGUUAAGUGAAGUGUUUGGAUUGGUAAGCUUCCGAUUGUGAGAAGUUAUGCCGUUUAAUACCUAGUGGUGCCUCCGAGGAAUAGCUUCUUGGAUAUAUCUAGCUCAUUGCGCUUCCUGGGUAGCAGAAUUUGCUGUACACAAACUUCAAAGGUGGCAUUUCAACACCUACUUUGCUAUUCAGUACGGCUGUACCCGAACAACGCAACCGAAAAGGUCACAAAUUGUUGAGUGUUUGAAAGUGUUAAAAUUUUUCUAAUAAAUUCAAGUGUCACCCCAUAAUGUGAUUACCUCUUGUUAGAGCAACAAGCACCCCAGUGCAGUGUGAUCUGAAGAAAGUAGUUCAAUUUUCCCGCCAAAUGCCUUUAUCCAUUGAUCUCCGUAACGCAAAAAUAUCUUAGAAAGUAGUGAAAAUUUUCAUCCUUUGAAUGUACCAAAAGCGAAAACGCAAACGUAGAAAGGAUCUCAACGUAUCGGGAAAUUUUAAUUAGGGCAUUUUACCAGCGGAAGUGUGUGAUCGUGUCUUCAGUUGGUUUUUAGCGGUUAUCAGUGCGCCCAAAUGCUUCUGCUAGCUUGGACGUUGCUUCUGGGCCUGGUGGACACCACCAGUCCGCUAAGUGUCCCCCAUGAGCAUCAACAGCAGCAGCAGCAACAACAACAUGAGCAUCUGCAUCAACAACAGCUAUCACACCAGCAGCAUCCACAGGUACAGCUAUCCAGUGGUGGCAGUGGCCCAAACGGGCCAAAGUCCGAGUAUAUCGUUCAGAAGAAUCACUGGAAUGGCGGGGGUGGAAGUGGCAUGAAUGGUGGCCCAGGAGGAUCAGCAGCUGGCAACAAUCCUUCGGAAAUGUCUCACAGCCACAUCGGUCACAGCCGUCCGCCUCCGGGCAUUUCCGGAAAUCUGAAUGGUGGUGGCUCCAGUGAGGUGCAGCAUCGGAUGCCGCAUCCCGGAGGCAGCAACGAUACCACUUACGUGCGGUCCCUGGCCCCGCCCGGAAGUGGCAGUCCCAUUCCGGCGGUUCUAGGAGGUACUGGGUUCAGUAGCUUCUUCAACCGAGCCGACUGGACCCUGAUGGAGUGUUUCUCGCUGCGGAGAACCCAUCACCUGUACUACCAGAUCGGGAAUGGGUUGUUCUUUCUGGCCUUCCUCGCUCCGAAUGGACCCUUCGGGAUGCUUUGGCUGCGAUGUGUGGUCAUCAUUGGCUGCGUGCUGAUGAUCAUCUGGGGCUGGCAGAUCGAGUGCACUAUGGAUGUGGUGGUGUGGGCUGGUUUGUUUCUGCUGGUCAAUGCCGUCUACGUGGGGGCGUUGCUGUGCAAGCUGCGGCCGGUCAAGUUCGAGAAGGAGAUUGAAGCGGUUUACGUGGCACUGUUCAAGCCCCUGCGGGUGUCCCGGCAUCAGUUCAAGAAGGUGCUCAACUGCAUGAAGCUGGUGCGAUCGCUCAAGUAUCAGGAAAUCUACGCCCAGGAGAAGGUCACCAAAGUCGACAGCCUAUCGCUGGUGCUGUCCGGAAAACUCGUCGUUUCCCAGAACCAGAAGGCGCUACACAUAGUCUUUCCCCAUCAAUUUCUCGAUUCACCCGAAUGGUUUGGAGUGUCGACCGAUGACUACUUUCAGGUGUCGAUAAUGGCGAUGGAGGAGUCCCGGGUGCUCAUCUGGCACCGAGACAAGCUAAAGCUGUCAAUUAUGGCUGAACCGUUCCUGCAGGCCGUUUUCGAUCACAUUCUGGGACGGGACGUGGUGAAGAAGCUGAUGCAAGUCACGCAGGUCAGCGAAACGAUGGCCCAAAGCAACGGGUACAUCUCGGCCGGGUACGGUGAAGACGCCGAGGACAAACCGAUGCUGACGUCCCAGAAAAGCUCCAGCAACGGUAGUAGCAAAGCGAGUGAAAACGGUGGCCACGGAAUUACGGCCCUCAUCAACCGGCAGCUGCAGGAGGACAGCAUUCCGCUUCUGUUGGGUCCUGCCGAUCCGUCUCCAUUGAUGUCACUGCACAUGCGGCUACUGAAAUCCGUUGAGAAUAAGUUCAUCAAAAAAGUCUACGAUCUCUGACGCUAGUGAUUGGUGGGUCUGAGUUCUGAGGCCAUUGCCGUAUAAUUGAAGCAACGAAGAACGCGAACUACGAACGUAGAGCAAAUAGCAAACCCCAAACGGAUGAAAUUUCUGAAGCGGGAAAUAUUCAUCGAAACGUUAAAAAAAAUCAGAAUAAUUUUUCUAGUCUUUAUAUUUUACGGUAGAUUACACACGGUACACAUUAUUAGUAAGUUUGAUGAUAAAAUUGUAAAUUUUUGUAAACUGUGAAACAAAGACUCGAUGAUUGCAACACUAGUGAUGUCAGAGAACAACGAAUACUACGAAUCGAGAAACAAUCCGAUCGAGAUUCGUAAAAUGCAGCCUCAUCAUCAACCACCAAAUUCAUGUCCACAAUUCUUGAAUCAUCUUUUAUUUGCUGCUUGUUUUUGGUGUCUCUCUUGUUUAUGCAGCGGCCGAUCCGAACGCCUGGCGCCUUGGUCGAAUCGACGAGACCGACCACGAGACGGCAGUUUAAUAUUAGGCCUUGCGGUAUGCCCCCGUCGUGCCCGGAAGUGGCUCCGGAGGCAACGGAAUGCGGGAUGGCGUCAUCGAGCCAGCAACCGAUGACGAUCCUGCUGCUAAUGCUGGCGGUGCUGAUCCACAACCUUAUCCAACGAUUGCUCAUCGACGGGCCCCAAAGACGGUGCUGCGGCCCGGAGAUUUGCACAGUAUCAUCCCGCUGGAUGUGGACUGGGCCAAGCUGGACGAACGGGAACUUCAACUGGAACGGCCACCCAGCCAGUGGUGGUAAACCGUGAGAUGGAAACGGAGGCAUACCGGAACACAAAUGAUGAGAGAACACGUGCUUUUUCCUCGAUUGGAACCGGGUACUAUUGUGGUUCCCCAGUGCGUGCGUGGCGCUAGCUGUGUUUAAUUAGGCAUAAGUUGUACUAACUAACAAACUAAUUCUGAGUUCUGAACUUGUACUGAUGGCUGAUGGCUUGUCUAACUUUGGGAGUCGUGCCACCAGAGAAAUACUCUUUCCUUACAAAAGCGAAACAAAAAAGCUGUGCUUUUAACUGCGCGAUCUUUAACAAUAAUUUUUUAAAUAUACAAGAAAAAAUAAAACUAGAACUCUUAAAUGCGAGCAACAAAAAUGUCGCCGUGUCGUACUGUUUUAGGAGCAAUCAUGUGUAAAACACAACGAUGGACAUUUAUUUUGUAAUUCGACAGAUAGCCAAUAGUUUUCGUUCAAUGACAGGUUUGAUGAAAGUCAUGAAUUAGAAAAAAAGAUUCUGUUUCAAGUGGUUUGGAUUAUUUACAAAUCCUAAAAAAUUAAAAAAAAAAAUGCAAUAAACUUGUUUGAGUUUUAAGGCCGCUUUCAACAGACAUUGUAAAAAUCAUAAACCAAAUUGUAGUUCCAUGAAUGCCUAUUUAAAAGCAAAUGAUAGAAAACCAAAACGAAUUUUCCAACCUAUCACAUCGAUAUCUAGUUUCAUUUGCCAAUAAGCAACUGAAAAUCCUUGAAAAUAACUAGGUAAUUAUUAUUGUGUUCCGUUUUUGUUAAAUCUCAGCUCCUUAAUUUAUCCUCAUUUUAUUUCUGAUUUUGAAAAUGUUUUUGAAAUCAAAUGAGGUACACCGGGGUAAGUGUGGACGCGGGGUAAGUGGGUUCGCUGACUAUUAGAACAAUACUGUGCACUAUUUUUUUCAAACUUUUAAUGCAGAAUACUAAAUUUAAUUGUAAUCUAAUUAAUGUAACUGUUAAAGAGACAUCCAACAAUGGCGGAUGUUUACAGCGACUUUUUGUUAAUUUUCGAUUUUCAACUACGAUGUCGAGUUGAUGUGCAUCUUUUUCAAUUGCAAAUUUUUCUCAAACUAGUUAGCUCUUGACAAAAAAAAACUCAACAACCCUUACAUUCGGAACAACCAGUUAGGAAAAGAAACGACGGUUAAAAAUUAAGAUAAAAGAGUUCAUUUACACAAAACUUAAAUUUUGUCUCCAAAUCCUACCUGGGGUAAGUGGGGGCGGCUUUAUACAGACUUGAUGUUCACACAUUUUUUCAAUUUUCUCUGCCGCAGCCCGUGGUGUAGAGGAUAGCCUUCAAGUCUUCUAAGCCCACGGACAUGAGAUCGAAUCCCGGUCACGGCAUACAUAGUACACUUUCUGUGGGUUGGUGGCUUUUAGCAUUUGUAAGAUGCUAGCCAUCAUAUCCUCGAAAGUUGUACGCCUAGAUUUAAGUGAAAAAGGAAUCUCUUCGAGGAAACAUAAAGUUUCAUUGAGAUCCUGUGUGUGUUUAUGUUCUCUCCUUCAUUCAAUACAAUUUAGCUAAUUUAGCAUUCGGAUCAUGAAAGUUGGGUAAAGUACUUGUUUGUUCUGGAAUAAGUAUAUAUUUUAGAUUAAAUUAAUUUUUCUCGCUUUGCGUCUAUCAAGCUCAUCUCUUCAGCGUUUGUAAACAACAUGAUCUGCAUCACAUUGAAAGUAAUUUUAUCAAAAUUGAUCCACUGUUAAUUUUUAAUGAUUUUUUGAAGUUGAAAUAUACGAAAAACCGUCUACACUUACCCCGGUGUACCUUACACAUAACCUAAUAAUUUUAAUACAGGUGGGUAUUUUUUCCUAUCGUGCAAUAUUGCAUCGGAGUGUCUCAGAUUUUCCCCAAAAUCUUCCAAAGCAAGUUUACAAAAGCACUUCAUGAAAGGUAUAUUAUACAAGUUUUUUAUUCAUUUCGCAGAUAGAAGAAGUUUUGAGUUGAAUAAAGAAAAUUGGAAUUAACUAUCCAACAAUUAACUGUUUCUCCCUCGGAAAAACACAUUUUUUUUCUAAUUCGCUAUAUUUGAAUUUAGAAGAAUAUGACAGGAUGAGCAACCCGCGGCCCGCAGGCUGCAUGCGGCCCUCAAAACAUGUUUGUGCGGCCCGCGAAGCUUAUGUAAAAUUUAAAUUUAUUCAUCGAUUUUUUUCUACGAUAGAUUGUUAAAUAUCAUAAAAUAGCAGUCCCUCCUAAUCCAAAAAUGAAUAUUUCAAUAACUUGAUAUGCACAUCAACUGUUUCCAGUUGAAUUUGUCACAUUAUCAUCCAGAUUGUUAACUUUUUUGUAAGCUUUAAGAUAUUUAUUGAGUUCUUUUCAUUGAUGCAUUUUUGGUGCUUAUGGCGCUGAUACGGCGUGUGGAAAUUUUAAAAUUGAUCAGUUUUGGGUAAAAUCAAUCUUUCAUAACUGAUAAACCAAUAAACCUACAUAAAAACCAAAAGCUGAUUUUCAACAACUUUGUUGAAGGGUGUGAAAUGAUUUGACUGACGGUUUUAGAUUCAAUUUAGUUUAAUAUUUCGUCAAAAAUCCAGUUUUUUGCAGGUUAUUGAAAGAAAAAUCCGUAACUCAGAAUUCAAAAUAACUCAAGGUGUUUGAGAUAUUUGAUCAUUGGUCGUAAGUGUUUAUAUUUAACAAUUUGUUCAAAAAUGUACUGAAAUAGAAUAACUAAUUUUUGCCUAUUUUAAAAAGUUAUCUCGAAAACUAGAGCUGACAAAAUCUAACUGAUAUUUGGAUCAACGCCUUUGAAUAAGUCAAAAUCAGAUUUUAGAUACACCGCAAAAAAUGUGAAUUUUGUUGUCUUGUGUUAUGUGUGGUACUAUUUUCAGACAAAUCUUGCCAAACAUUGAUUGCAUUGAGUCAUUUUACUUAAAAAUAAGCAAUCCACGUUACCUAAGUCGUUAGAUUUCCAUGAACCAGUUUUAGAAAGCCUUUCCCAGAGAUAUGAAAAUUAAAUUAACAAAAUUCAUGAAAUCUGAAAAAAAAAAUGCUAGAUUAAAAAAUGUAAACUGUAACUUUGACAAAUCUGCGUGAUAUUAUAAAUUGUGUAUGCUAUCGAAACCUUGCUCAGCAUUUCAAUGCAAUGAUUUCAUAGGGAACUUCAAAUUGAAAAAAAAAUCACCGUUUAUAGAAAAAAACAAAGAGGCUUGAUGAAAAAGUUUAAAAAAAUUGUGAAAAAACUUUUCGAAAAUGGGCGUGACGUGAUGAAGAAAAAUACCAUCGCAUCGGUUCGUACAAAAGAAGGUUUUUUUUCAGAAAACGGUUCAAUUUUCAAUUUCGCUUUAAAAAAAAUUACGUAGUUUGUUACGAGUGUGAGACUCUUUUACUAAAAAUGGCGCUAUCUGUGGCCAAAAUAAGGGCAAUCAUAACUUGAGUGUGAGCUUGUGCAAUGGUGGCAUUUCGCCUCGCACCCUAAGACAAAAGUAGCAAGAAUAUCGACUUACAUGUUUACUGCAUGCAUGAUUCGCUCGCACGGUGAUAUGUUCAUCACGGAAUCGCUGCUCCACUCGUCUUGCCAAAUUCCUGGAGUUCCUUAGGCAAGAUUGAGCUUCCACGGUGGAUCUGCGCCUCUCCCAGCGCACCUUGGCCUCCUCUGCCACUUAGCAAUUUCAGCUCCAAUCGCGGUUCUAGCACUGCCUAUAUUCGCACUUGUCUGCUUCCGGUGCGUAACUAAGACCCCGCAGUCGGCCUCCGGUGCGGCACAAAACCUCCCGCAGUCUGCCUCUGGUGCGGAACCAAAAAAACUCCCGCAGUCUGCUUCUGGUGCGGCCCGAAAAACUUCCGCAGCCUGCUUCCGCGCGGAACAAAAGCUUGCUUCGGAAUAAAAACUUCCGGCUCGAAAUAUAAUUUCCGCAGUUCGCUUUCGGAGUGGUACAAAAUAAAAUCGCAGUCCGCUUCCAGUGCGUGAUGACAGCUUGCUCCAGGUGCGGAAUUGAAAUCUUCUUCGGAAUAAAAACUUCCGGCUCUUUGUGAAAAAGCUACCGCAUGAAAAACCCUCUAGGAGGGGUUGUUUUGGUCCAGCAAUAUUCCACCGCGACCAGUUGGAGAUACCAAUAGUUGGCCCGACACGGAACGGAACGGCCCUCUGUGUGAGGGUUUUUCCCUUUUUUCACACGUGUCGAUGCUUCCGCCGGUCGUGAUGAGCAAGGUGAUGAGAGUCAGGAAUGGGAUGCUGCCUCCUAGAGGGUUUUUUCUGCUACUUCAAAAAACGGCUGCCACUUCCGAACUACUACGCCGCGUGGAUCAAGCGCACCAAGAUUUUUUUCCCUCCUUUUUACUUGUCGACGUUUAUGCUCAGCGGUUUUUCUAACCGGCAACUUGAAGUUGUUCGAGCGUCGAGAAAUUUUCUUGCCUCGCUACACGCUCGUUUGCCUUUAGCUCAAAUUCCUUCACGCAGUGGGUGAAUAACUAUGUUUUGGGUGCUUUAAUGCUACAUCUUAUUGCUCUAUACUCAAUUUUGCUCAAAAACGUUACAAGUUCUGCAAACCAUUUUAAACUUAAUUUUAUUUAAAUGCGGCCCGCCGAAAGAAAUUCAAAUUAAAAGUGGCCCGUCGCUUCAGAAGGUUGCUCACCCUUGCUCUACUUAGUAGCCAAGCAUUUUUUAAGAAUAAAAAAAAUACAACACCGAGUGUCAUGGCCGUAGGAACGGAGGGAAGGACCCCCUGAGGAUUCAGGAAAAGCAAGUUCUCAACACUUAAAAAAUUUAAAUAUUAAUGGUUGAGUAAGGACAUUAAAGAGUAUAAAUCUUGACUCAAGACUGAUGCCACACACAACGAAAAAAAUCUGUAAAAUCACAUCACAUAUGAUGUAAAUAAAAAGAAGCAUCAUAUAUGACGGAAUUUUCAGUGCUAGUUGGAAAUUACACGCCAGUAACAUUUUGCAACGUGUAAAAUAAAAAAUGAUGUAAAAUUGGCAGCUUGUAAAAUAAAAAUGAUGUAAAUUAUAAAAUCACUGAAUAUUGGAAGAGAAACUUUCCAAUUGGAAUUUGUUUUGUUUUAUUUUUUGUUUAUAUGAUUCAAUAAUGGAAUUUUCUCAUCUCUUCAUAAAAAUUAAACCUUUUUAUACCUAAAUUAAUUUAUUAUAUUUAGCGACAGAAAUUUUUUUCAGCUCACAUUUUUUUAUUAGAAUUCACUUUAACCUUUCAUUUUCUUCCCCGAAUCCUAAGUUGAGUAACAUCACAGAGAAGAACAUGGUGGUAAAAUGGAGCCGCUUCCGGAACCGCAUCCCUACAUCAUGAAGAUCUCCGGGAACCUCACUCGCGGGAAAACUGCUUAAAACAAAUACUUUGGUGCACGACUGGACUUGACACUUUGUUUACAUUUGUCUAUGGUUCUGUUCUUGACAGUCUGUAUUUUUACAUGACAUCAUCGCGUUCAGUGUAUUGUAAUAUUAAUUAAAUUCAAAUUCAAUGUUCUGUAACUUUCCAUGCCGUGUAAUUUUAAGAAAUUUCUAUUUCAGUGCUUUUAAGAAUUUUGUGUGACCAGAAAAAUGUUAUAAAAUUACAUCACAUAUGAUGUAACGAAAAAGAAGCAUCACAUAUGAUGGAAUUUUCAGUGCGAGUUGAAUAUUCCACGUCUGUAAACUUAAAAAAACGUGUAAAAUUUAAAGACAUGUAAAAUAUUUAAGACGUGUAAUAUUUAAUUCGCACUGAAAAUUACGUCGUAUGUGAUGCUUCUUUUUAUUUACAUCAUAUGUGAUGUAAAUUUACAUGAAAUAAUCGCGUUCCGUGUCAAGGUAUAUUUGUGUCAUACGAAUUCAGUGCUGUUAAGGAUUCAACUUUUUUUAAUUUGUAAAUUUACAUCAAUAAAUCGCGUUCCACGUCAUGUAAUGAUACAGGUUUUCAAUUUCAGUGUUGUUAAGGAUUCAGAUUUUUUUUCUGUGCAUAACCUCGAGAACUAAUCCCACACACUACGAAAAAAAUCUGUAAAAUCACAUCACAUGUGAUGUAAAUAAAAAGAAGCAUCAUAUAUGACGGAAUUUUCAAUGCUUGUUGGAAAUUACACGCCAGUAAAAUUCUGCAACGUGUAAAAUGAAAAAUGAUGUAUAUAAAAUUUUACAAUGUGUAAAAUAAAAAAGAUGUUAAUUAUAAAACCACUGAAUAUUAAUAGAAAAAACAUUCCAAUUGGAAUUUGUUUUAUUUUAUUUAUUGUUAUUAUGAUUAAAUAAUGGAAUUUUCUCAGCUGUUAAUGAAAAUAAAAUCUUUUUAUUAUUAAUAAUUUAUUUUAUUAAAUUUUUCAUCUCACCAUUUUAUUAAAUUAGGAGCCACAUUCACACAUUUCCUUUCUUCUUCUAAGUACCGGAUCCAAAUUUGGGUAUCGUGGAGCAGCUUCCAGAACCGCAUCCCUGCUGCUCAAAGAUCUCCGGGAACCAUCAAAACCGAUAAGCUUACUCACGCGAGGGGAAAAUGCUUAGACAAAAUACUUUGGUGCACGACUUGACCUAACAGUUUGUUUUCAUUUUUCUGUAUGGUCCUGUUCCCAUUCCUGCCUCUCGAAGAUCUCCAGGAACCAGCAAGAUUGAUUAACUUAAUCGCGGAAAACCUUCUUCAAUAAAAUACUGUUGGGCACGACUUGACGCAACACUUUGUUGACAUUUGUGUGUGCCUGUUUUCGACAGUCUGUAUUUUUACAUGACAUCAUCGCGUUCAGUGUGUUGUAAUAUUAAUUAAAUUCAAAUUCAAUGUCCUAUAACAUUCCAUGUCGUGUAAUUUUAAGAAAUUUCUAAUUCAGUGCUGCUAAGAAUUUUGUGUGACCCGAAAAUGUUGUAAAAUUACAUCACAUAUGAUGUAACGAAAAAAAAGCAUCACAUAUAAUGGAAUAAUCAGUGCAAGUUGAAUAUUACACGUCUAUAAACUUCAACAGACGUGUAAAAUAUGAAAGACAUGUAAAAUAUUUGAGACGUGUAAUUUUGAAUUCGCACUGAAAAUUCCGUCAUAUGUGAUGCUUCUUUUUAUUUACAUCAUAUGUGAUGUAAAUUUACAUCAAAUAAUCGCGUUCCGUGUCAAGUUAUGUCUGUGUUAUUAGAAUUCAGUGCUGUUGUGGAUUCAACUUUUUUUAUUUUGUAAAUUUACAUCAAUAAAUCGCGUUCCACGUCAUGUAAUAAUAAAGGUUUUCUAUUUCAGUGUUGUUAAGGAUUCAGAUUUUUUUUUGUGCAGGUUCGGUAUUAUGCUACAGUUUUUAAAAACUUGAUGAUGAAAUGAAAUGAGAU